UGGGGAAUUUUGGACAAUGGGGGAAACCCUGAUCCAGCCAUCCCGCGUGUGCGAUGAAGGCCUUCGGGUUGUAAAGCACUUUUGGCAGGAAAGAAACGUCGCGGGUUAAUACCCCGCGGAACUGACGGUACCUGCAGAAUAAGCACCGGCUAACUACGUGCCAGCAGCCGCGGUAAUACGUAGGGUGCAAGCGUUAAUCGGAAUUACUGGGCGUAAAGCGUGCGCAGGCGGUUCGGAAAGAAAGAUGUGAAAUCCCAGAGCUUAACUUUGGAACUGCAUUUUUAACUACCGGGCUAGAGUGUGUCAGAGGGAGGUGGAAUUCCGCGUGUAGCAGUGAAAUGCGUAGAUAUGCGGAGGAACACCGAUGGCGAAGGCAGCCUCCUGGGAUAACACUGACGCUCAUGCACGAAAGCGUGGGGAGCAAACAGGAUUAGAUACCCUGGUAGUCCACGCCCUAAACGAUGUCAACUAGCUGUUGGGGUCUUCGGACCUUGGUAGCGCAGCUAACGCGUGAAGUUGACCGCCUGGGGAGUACGGUCGCAAGAUUAAAACUCAAAUGAAUUGACGGGGUC
rnacentral:rRNA from 1 species